rnacentral:rRNA from 1 species
GACGAACCGUGCGAACGUUGUUCGGAAUCACUGGGCUUAAAGGGCGCGUAGGCGGCUUGCCAAGUCAGGGGUGAAAUCCAGCAGCUUAACUGUUGAAGUGCCUUUGAUACUGGCGAGCUCGAGGGAGGUAGGGGUAUGCGGAACUUCUGGUGGAGCGGUGAAAUGCGUUGAUAUCAGAAGGAACGCCGGUGGCGAAAGCGGCGUACUGGACCUCUUCUGACGCUGAGGCGCGAAAGCUAGGGGAGCAAACAGG